AACGAACGCUGGCGGCGUGGAUAAGAUAUGCAAGUCGAACGGAUCAACUUUGUAGCAAUACUAAGCUGAUCAGUGGCGAACGGGUGCGUAACACGUGGGUCACAUUCCGGAAAGCAGAGAAUAGCCCAGGGAAACUUGGAUUAAUGCUCUAUGUGGUCGCAAGACUAAAGGCGCAAGCCGCUUUCUGAUUGGCCCGCGGCCUAUCAGCUAGUUGGUGGGGUAAUGGCCCACCAAGGCUACGACGGGUAGCUGGUCUAAGAGGACGACCAGCCACACUGGAACUGAGACACGGUCCAGACACCUACGGGUGGCAGCAGUCGAGAAUCUUUCACAAUGGGGGAAACCCUGAUGGAGCGACGCCGCGUGGAGGAUAAGGUCUUCGGAUUGUAAACUCCUGUCAUGCGAGAACAAUGCCUCACGGCUUGAUAGUAUCGCAAGAGGAAGAGACGGCUAACUCUGUGCCAGCAGCCGCGGUAA
rnacentral:rRNA from 1 species